UACGUAGGCAGCAAGCGUUGUUCGGAAUUACUGGGAAUAAAGAGUGUGUAGGCGGUGUUCUAAGGUUGUCGUGAAAUCUCCCGGCUUAACUGGGAGGGUGCGGCGAAAACUGGAAUGCUAGAGGAUGGGAGAGGUAAGCGGAAUUCCUGGUGUAGCGGUGAAAUGUGUAGAUAUCAGGAGGAACACCUGUGGUGUAGACAGCUUACUGGACCAUUUCUGACGCUGAGACACGAAAGCGUGGGUAGCAAACAGG
rnacentral:rRNA from 1 species